GUGUUUGUGAGGGGAAAAUGGGGGAUUUGGGAAUGUCUGUGAGGAACAAGAGGGGUUUGGGAAUGUUGGUGAGGGAAAAAUGGAGGUUUGGGAAUGUUUAUGAGGGAAAAAAGGGGAUUGGGGAAUGUUUGUGAGGGAAAAAUGGGGAUUUGGGAAUGGUUGUGAGGGAAAAAGGGGAUUUGGGAAUGUUUGUGAGGAACAAGAGGGGUUUGGGAAUGUUUAUGAGGGAAAAAAGGGGAUUGGGGAAUGUUUGUGAGGGAAAAAUGGGGAUUUGGGAAUGUUUGUGUGGAAAAAAUGGGGAUUUGGGAAUGGUUGUGAGGGAAACAUGGGGAUGUGGGAAUGGUUGUGAGAGAAAAAUGGGGAUUUGGGAAUGGUUGUGAGGGAAAAAUGGGGAUUUGGGAAUGUCUGUGAGGGGAAAAAUGGGGAUUUGGGAAUGUUUCUGAGGAAAAAGAGGGAUUUGGGAAUGUUUGUAAGGGAAAAAUCAGGAUGUGGGAAUGUUUGCGAAGAAAAAGAGGGAUUUGGGAAAGUUUAUGAGGGAAAAAUAGGGAUUUGGGAAUGUUUGUGAGG